rnacentral:rRNA from 1 species
GCAGCAAUGCUCUGCCGGCGACCGGCGGACGGGUGAGUAACGCGUAUGCAACCAACCUACCAGCGGGGGAUAAUCCACCGAAAGGUGGUCUAAGACCGCAUAAGACAGGGGCACCGCAUGGUGCUAUUUGUUAAAGGGGACACUGGUAGACGGGCAUGCGUUCCAUUAGGCAGUUGGAGGGGUAACGGCCCACCAAACCGACGAUGGAUAGGGGUUCUGAGAGGAAGGUCCCCCACAUUGGUACUGAGACACGGACCAAACUCCUACGGGAGGCAGCAGUGAGGAAUAUUGGUCAAUGGGCGGAAGCCUGAACCAGCCAAGUCGCGUGAAGGAAGAAGGAUCUAUGGUUUGUAAACUUCUUUUGAAGGGGGAUAAAGUGCGUCACGUGUGGUGCAUUGCAGGUACCCUUGGAAUAAGCAUCGGCUAACUCCGUGCCAGCAGCCGCGGUAAUACGGAGGAUGCGAGCGUUAUCCGGAUUUAUUGGGUUUAAAGGGUGCGUAGGUGGCUUUUUAAGUCAGCGGUGAAAACUGGCGGCUCAACCGCAAGAGUGCCGUUGAAACUGGGGAGCUAGAGUAUGAACGAGGUAGGCGGAAUGUGUGGUGUAGCGGUGAAAUGCAUAGAUAUCACGCAGAACUCCGAUAGCGAAGGCAGCUUACCAGGCCAUAACAGACACUGAAGCACGAAAAGCGUGGGGAUCGAACAGGAUUAGAUACACUGGUAGUCCACGCAGUAAACGAUGAUUACUAGGAGUUUGCGAUAAACAGUAAGCUCUCG